ACUGCAAGCUCCACCUCCUGGGUUCACGCCAUUCUCCUGCCUCAGCCUCCUGAGUAGCUGGGACUACAGGCGCCCGCCACUGCACCCGGCUAAUUUUUUGUAUUUUUAGUAGAGACGGGGUUUUACCGUGUUAGCCAGGAUGGUCUCUAACUCCUGACCUCAGGUGAUCCGCCCACCUCAGCCUCCCAAAGUGCUAUGAUUACAGGUGUGAGCCACUGUGCCCGGCCCGCUUACACAUUUUUAAAUUUCUUUUAAUUCUUGUUCCACCUCAGCUUCCCAAAGUUAAAAAUUAUGUUUAUUAUCACUGAUAGAGAAUCUAAUUGCUUUCCAGUAGGAGGGCACUACAUAAAUUCUGGAGCACCAGCCUGCCACAGGGCUGGAGUGCAAUACGUCAUCAUGGCUCACUGCAGCCUCAAAUCCCUAGGCUCAAGUGAUUCUCCCAUCCCGGACUCCCAAAUUGCUGGGAUCACAGGUGUGAGCCAUCACACCCAGCACCAGGCUCAGGCUGGAAACCAUCCAAAGCGCAAUCCCUGACUUCAGGGAGCUCACAGUCCAGUGGGG
rnacentral:antisense_RNA from 1 species